rnacentral:lncRNA from 7 species
AUCUUUUCUGGGUAGAGCAGCUGCCCUUCAAUAACAGCUAGAGGAAUGCAGCUCUGCUUUAUGACACCGAUGUAAGGCAAGCUAAGAUAGGAGGGAUAAUAGGUUCGUGCAUAGAGGAUUACAUUAUUUCCUUUACCUAGACAACUGCCCCAGGAUGGAUAUGUUAGCCCCAGAGAAGAAAACACAUGAAGAAAAAGAGGAUUUGCAACAGUAUCAUCAGAAAACUGGAAACUGCAAGAAACUGCUUAGGAAUUGCUGCUUGGUAAAACGAUUCUUUGCCUGGAAAAGUUUGAGCUCUAAAGAUGCUUUGAUCAAUAUCAUACAAUCAUGAGAAGACUUCAAAGAACUAUAUGUGGUCACAAAAGGAAAUUUGUUCUAUGUUCCCAUACAGCUGAAGUUUAUAUGACUUUUCUGAGCCUGAAAGCCUGUAAGAGAAGAAAAAAAGAGAGAGCACUACGUGCCUUGUCCUUUCUAUUGUAGAUGGUCAGCACGUGUAAAUUAGACUAAAAUAUUUCCCCACAAAGUAUUUCCAGAAAAAGGAGUUCUUGUAGCCUAUUACUACACAUACUAGCCACUGAAGAGAUUAAUACAACUGAGAUUUUGUACUCUGAAAACAAACAGAAAUCUAUUUAAAUAUUGAAUCUUUCAUAGUUUUAGCCAAUACAGAAAUCCUUAUUUAUUUUGUAAAGAUUACAAGAAGAGGAACUACGGUGGGAAUUUAAAAUGAAUUUUGUCAAUUUGAAAAUUUUGUGAAAGUGUUUUACAUUUUGGUGAUGAUGCUGUCGGUUUAUACUUUAACUGUAAGUAAGCUAGUGACUAAACCCAGGAAAAGUUACAGUAUUAAAACCUUACUUAUUUUGAGUCUUUUAAUAACAUUUUCGGGGAAAAUGAUCAUCACCUAGUCUUACUUUAUGUAUUUCUUUAAUCACAAUGAGCUAUGAAUUAGCAAUGUAUACUUAUUCAAGUCUAAUAAGGCAAAAGUUUUUGUAGUGUCUUAUACCUUCUGGCAUAAAAUGUAAAUGUUUUAUGUUUGCAAACAUUGCAGUUUAUGUUACAAAAUAAAUCUGAAUAAAUACUGCGUGCUUUGUAUACACGUGUUCAAGUCACUGAACUGAAUAGAAAAUGUGGAUGUAUUACGUUUAUUUGUUAAAGUUGCAAGCAAUAUGCUUCUAUUACAUUUUUCUCCUGGAACCGACAGAGAACUAUUGUUAGAUAAAAAAUUUCCAGUGUAAAAUAGAGUUGUGGUUUUUCCUAUUGAAUAAGUAUGAAAAGAUUGUUUUAGAAAUUUUAAUAAAACUUUUUGGACAGU